AUUCCCUAUGAUGGUUUUAACCAUGCUAAUACUGAUCUCUUAUGAAUGUGUCGAAAGUUAAGUGUCUGAAGGAAUC
rfam:Arabis alpina cultivar Pajares chromosome 2, whole genome shotgun sequence.